rnacentral:miRNA from 1 species
UCCCUGAGACCCUAACUUUGGA